rnacentral:rRNA from 1 species
UGGGGAAUAUUGGACAAUGGGCGCAAGCCUGAUCCAGCAAUGCCGCGUGUGUGGAGAAGGCCUUCGGGUUGUAAAGCACUUUUAUCAGGAGCGAAACGCUGUCGGCUAAUACCCGGCGGAACUGACGGUACCUGAGGAAUAAGCACCGGCUAACUUCGUGCCAGCAGCCGCGGUAAUACGAAGGGUGCAAGCGUUAAUCGGAAUUACUGGGCGUAAAGCGUGCGUAGGCGGUUUCUUAAGUCUGCUGUGAAAUCCCCGGGCUCAACCUGGGAAUGGCAGUGGAUACUGGGAGGCUAGAGUGUGUCAGAGGGUGGUGGAAUUCCCGGUGUAGCGGUGAAAUGCGUAGAGAUCGGGAGGAACAUCAGUGGCGAAGGCGGCCACCUGGGACAACACUGACGCUGAGGCACGAAAGCGUGGGGAGCAAACAGGAUUAGAUACCCUGGUAGUCCACGCCCUAAACGAUGCGAACUGGAUGUUGGUCUCAACUCGGAGAUCAGUGUCGAAGCUAACGCGUUAAGUUCGCCGCCUGGGGAGUACGGUCGCAAGACUG